rnacentral:misc_RNA from 1 species
AAGUCGUAACAAGGUUUCCGUAGGUGAACCUGCGGAAGGAUCAUUAUAGAGAAUAUGCCCUUCGGGGUAGAUCUCCUACCCUUUGCUUACUUUACUUUUGUUGCUUUGGCAAGCCCGUCUACUGACCACCGGCUUUUUGCUGGUCAGUGCUUGCCAGAGGAUCUCAAAUUCUUAAUAUAAUAUUGUCUGAGUACUAUAUAAUAGUUAAAACUUUCAACAACGGAUCUCUUGGUUCUG